rnacentral:tRNA from 1 species
AUUUAAUUAGUAUAAAAAGUACACUUAAUUUCCAAUUAAGUAGUUUCAAUGAAAUUAAAUA